rnacentral:rRNA from 1 species
UACAGGGGGAUAACACUUAGAAAUAGGUGCUAAUACCGCAUAAGCGCACGGUUCCGCAUGGAACAGUGUGAAAAACUCCGGUGGUAUACGAUGGAUCCGCGUCUGAUUAGCCAGUUGGCGGGGUAACGGCCCACCAAAGCGACGAUCAGUAGCCGGCCUGAGAGGGUGAACGGCCACAUUGGGACUGAGACACGGCCCAAACUCCUACGGGAGGCAGCAGUGGGGAAUAUUGCACAAUGGGGGAAACCCUGAUGCAGCGACGCCGCGUGAGUGAAGAAGUAUCUCGGUACGUAAAGCUCUAUCAGCAGGGAAGAAAAUGACGGUACCUGAUUAAGAAGCCCCGGCUAACUACGUGCCAGCAGCCGCGGUAAUACGUAGGGGGCAAGCGUUAUCCGGAUUUACUGGGUGUAAAGGGAGCGUAGACGGCAGCGCAAGUCUGGAGUGAAAUGCCGGGGCCCAACCCCGGAACUGCUUUGGAAACUGUGCAGCUCGAGUGCAGGAGAGGUAAGCGGAAUUCCUAGUGUAGCGGUGAAAUGCGUAGAUAUUAGGAGGAACACCAGUGGCGAAGGCGGCUUACUGGACUGUAACUGACGUUGAGGCUCGAAAGCGUGGGGAGCAAACAGGAUUAGAUACCCUGGUAGUCCACGCCGUAAACGAUGAUUACUAGGUGUCGGGGGGCCAAGGCCCUCCGGUGCCGGCG